rnacentral:lncRNA from 1 species
GUCCCGGAAGCGGAUCGCGGUGUGUGAAGGUGACACCGCCGAGCAAGAGUGUGCCUAGGUGUAGAUUAAGCCUUCGAUUCGCCGUCCCGCUUUUCCACACCCGCUCUGCUGACCUUAAAAUCCCCGCAUCGCGCCCUUCACCCGAGCUCCACCCGCUGGAAAAUGUGCUCCUCCAGGAUCCAGGUGUCUUACUCCAAACCCUCCUGUGAAUGUGUGGGCCAAAGGGAUCAGGAAACAGAGAGGGGCUGAGAGUGAAUUACAAAAACUGAGAGGAAAGAAUGAAGGAAACCCAUAAACACAUGGCAAAGUAGAGGAUGGGUCGGGAUUCGCAGAGACGGGAAGAGCGAAAGAAGGAUCCAGGCGCGGUGGCUCACGCCUGUAAUCCCAGCACUUUGGGAGGCCGAGGCGGGUGGAUCAUUUGAGGUCAGGAGUUCGAGACCAGCGUGCCCAACAUGGUGAAACCCCCGUCUCUACUAAAAAUUAG